AUCACCUAGGGAUCUUGUUAAAAUGCAGAUUCUGACUGAGUAGAUCUGAGGUGGGGCUCAAGAUUCUGCAAUUCUAAUAGGCCCCCAAGUGAUGUUAA
rnacentral:pre_miRNA from 1 species